rnacentral:rRNA from 1 species
UAGGGAAUCUUCCGCAAUGGGCGAAAGCCUGACGGAGCAACGCCGCGUGAGUGAUGAAGGUCUUCGGAUCGUAAAACUCUGUUAAUAGGGAAGAACAAAUGUGUAAGUAACUAUGCACGUCUUGACGGUACCUAAUCAGAAAGCCACGGCUAACUACGUGCCAGCAGCCGCGGUAAUACGGAGGUGGCAAGCGUUAUCCGGUAUUCUUGGGCGUAAAGCGCGCGUAGGCGGUUUUUUAAGUCGGAUGUGAAAGCCCACGGCUCAACCGUGGAGGGUCAUUGGAAACUGGAAACCUUGAGUGGAGAAGAGGAAAGUGGAAUUCCAUGUGUAGCGGUGAAAUGCGCAGAGAUAUGGAGGAACACCAGUGGCGAAGGCGACUUUCUGGUCUGUAACUGACGCUGAUGUGCGAAAGCGUGGGGAUCAAACAGG